UGAGUUAGCCCAGUUGGUAGCACGAGUGCUAUAGGAUCGGGAAGUUCCGGGUUCGAUUCCCGGGAGAACAA